rnacentral:rRNA from 1 species
UGCCCUAGUAACGGCGAGCGAAGCGGCAACAGCUCAAAUUUGAAAUCUGGCUAUUUUGUAGUCCGAGUUGUAAUUUGUAGAGGAUGCUUUUGGUGAGGUGCCUUCCGAGUUCCCUGGAACGGGACGCCAGAGAGGGUGAGAGCCCCGUACGGUUGGAUACCAAACCUUUGUAUAGCUCCUUCGACGAGUCGAGUAGUUUGGGAAUGCUGCUCUAAAUGGGAGGUAUAUCUCUUCUAAAGCUAAAUAUAGGCUAGAGACCGAUAGCGCACAAGUAGAGUGAUCGAAAGAUGAAAAGCACUUUGAAAAGAGAGUUAAACAGCACGUGAAAUUGUUGAAAGGGAAGCGCCUAUGACCAGACUUGUUUCUUUCAGUUUUGUUAGUUUUCGGACUGAUUUACUCUGUUAGUACAGGCCAGCAUCAGUUUGUUGUCAGGGAGAAAGGCUUAGGGAAUGUGGCUCUUUCGGGAGUGUUAUAGCCCUUUGCAUAAUACCUUUCGGCAGACUGAGGACCGCGCUUCGGCAAGGAUGCUGGCGUAAUGGUCAUCAGCGACCCGUCUUGAAACACGGACCAAGGAGUCAACCUUAUGUGCGAGUGUUUGGGUGUAAAACCCCAGCGCGUAAUGAACGUGAACGUAGGUGAGAGCUUCGGCGCAUCAUCGACCGAUUCUGAUGUUCUCGGAUGGAUUUGAGUAAGAGCACACAGGGUUGGACCCGAAAGAAGGUGAACUAUGCUUGUAUAGGGUGAAGCCAGAGGAAACUCUGGUGGAGGCUCGCAGCGGUUCUGACGUGCAAAUCGAUCGUCAAAUAUGAGC